GACGAACCGUGCGAACGUUGUUCGGAAUCACUGGGCUUAAAGGGCGCGUAGGCGGCUCGCCAAGUCGGGGGUGAAAUCUUUCGGCCCAACCGGAAAAGGGCCUCCGAUACUGGCGAGCUCGAGGGAGGUAGGGGCGGACGGAACUUCCGGUGGAGCGGUGAAAUGCGUUGAUAUCGGAAGGAACGCCGGUGGCGAAAGCGGUCCGCUGGCCCUCUACUGACGCUGAGGCGCGAAAGCCAGGGGGAGCAAACGGG
rnacentral:rRNA from 1 species